AACGAACGCUGGCGGCAUGCCUAACACAUGCAAGUCGAACGAGACCUUCGGGUCUAGUGGCGCACGGGUGCGUAACGCGUGGGAACCUGCCCUUAGGUUCGGAAGAACUCCCCGAAAGGGGUGCUAAUACCGGAUAAUGUCUUCGGACCAAAGAUUUAUCGCCUUUGGAUGGGCCCGCGUUGGAUUAGCUAGUUGGUAGGGUAAAAGCCUACCAAGGCGACGAUCCAUAGCUGGUCUGAGAGGAUGAUCAGCCACACUGGGACAGAGACACGGCCCAGACUCCGACGGGAGGCAGCAGUGGGGAAUAUUGGACAAUGGGCGAAAGACUGAUCCAGCAAUGCCGCGUGAGUGAUGAAGGCCGUAGGGUUGUAAAGCUCUUUUACCCGGGAUGAUAAUGACAGUACCGGGAGAAUAAGCUCCGGCUAACUCCGU
rnacentral:rRNA from 1 species